rnacentral:misc_RNA from 1 species
UUAAGUUCAGCGCGUAUUCCUACCUGAUCCGAGGUCAACCUUGAAGAAAUUUCCUGGUUAAAGGAGAAGGACCGGGUCCUGGGUGCCCUUGUCCGGUACGUGCUCAGUUAAAAGCUCAGUGUACCGGGGGAUCCGCAGGCCGCCGUCAUUGUCUUUAGGAGGGGUCGAUAUCACACGACCAAAGUCCGUCCAACACCAAG